GUUUGAUCCUGGCUCAGAACGAACGCUGGCGGCAGGUUUAACACAUGCAAGUCGAACGCCCCGCAAGGGGAGUGGCAGACGGGUGAGUAACGCGUGGGAAUCUACCCAGAUCUUCGGAACAACUGAGGGAAACUUCAGCUAAUACCGGAUACGCCCUACGGGGGAAAGAUUUAUCGGUUCUGGAUGAGCCCGCGUUGGAUUAGCUAGUUGGUGAGGUAAUGGCCCACCAAGGCGACGAUCCAUAGCUGGUCUGAGAGGAUGAUCAGCCACACUGGGACUGAGACACGGCCCAGACUCCUACGGGAGGCAGCAGUGGGGAAUAUUGGACAAUGGGCGAAAGCCUGAUCCAGCCAUGCCGCGUGAGUGAUGAAGGCCUUAGGGUUGUAAAGCUCUUUCAGUAGGGAAGAUAAUGACGGUACCUACAGAAGAAGCCCCGGCUAACUUCGUGCCAGCAGCCGCGGUAAUA
rnacentral:rRNA from 1 species